UGGUGGAAGCCCGCAGCGAUACUGA
rnacentral:snRNA from 1 species